CUCCAAUGGGGUUAACCUCUCCAAGGGGCUAGCUUUUAAGGAACGUAGCAACUUGGAAGAAAACCAGGAUCGCUUGAGGUCUCUGGUAAACAAAAGAUACUUGUUUUCUUUGCCUUCCUUUGGCUGCCAAUAUGG